rnacentral:tRNA from 1 species
GGUUGUGGCUCAGUGGUAGAGCACUUGCCUACCACACAUGAGGCACUGGGUUCGAUCCCUAGCACCA